UUGUUUAUUUUAAUUUUUAAAUAUAAUCUGCUUUCGGAAAUAAAAUGGGAAUAUUGACAAAAAUUAAAAACUUUUUUUGGAGCAAUCAAGAGCCUACACCUAAAAAACGGGUAUAUCCUUCAGUUGGUAAGCAUAAAAGACGUCAAAAACCCUUAGCAUCGAAAUAUGAGAAAGAACUCAUUAAGCAGAAAAAGAUUGCAACGGAGAAAAUAAUAAAUGAUAAUGAGGAACGUUGGAAUGCCUAUGUUGAUGAGAGACGUUUUUCAAAAUUUCUUGAAAUUUUAGCUUUGAAGAAUCCUAAAUUAAAGCCAGAAGAAAUUGAAAAAGCUGGUUGGGCGGAAUGGCGUGCAUUGAGUCCUGACGAAAAAGUUCGUUAUGAUCGUGGCGGCAUGUAUUGGGAUUUAAAUAAAAUUAUAGUCAUAUCCGAAAUGGAUCUAAAGAAAAAAGUUAAACGGAAUAAAAAAAAGGGCGUUAAUAAGAAAGGUGCUAAGGGGAAGAAAAAGUGUGGGAAGAAACCGAAGCGUAAUGCGCGUAAAAAAUGAAAGUUCUGAUUAUGUAUGCUUCGAAGAGCAUUGCUAUGCAAUUAAAAUCGGAUGUGCUCUUCUACUUCUCAGAUACAUUGCAAGGGAAAAUUAAAACUAUGAGUGAAAAUUUAAUCAUACCCUGACUGUAUACUGGAUAUAUUCUGAUUGUGUCAUGCCUCUAUACUGACUAUGUCUUGAUUGUAUUCUAAUUGUGUCUUGAGUAUAUGUUGGAUUGGAUCUUUACUGUGUCCUCUUUGUAAACAUAACUACAUAACAUGUGGUGUGCUUAGCAGUUGUUUUAUUAAUACUUGAACCUAUCAUUUUAUUUAAAUAAACUACAAGAUACCAAGAAAAUGUGUUCAAAAUAUAGACUAAUAACUGGAAAAAUUGAUUGUUAAUAUCCUAACUAAAAACUUUGCUUAAAUAUAUUUUACACAAACUUAUACGAAUCUAAAAAUUAUGAGUCUUAAUAAAAA